rnacentral:rRNA from 1 species
UACGGGGGGGGCAAGCGUUGUUCGGAAUUACUGGGCGUAAAGGGCUCGUAGGCGGCCAACUAAGUCAGACGUGAAAUCCCUCGGCUUAACCGGGGAACUGCGUCUGAUACUGGAUGGCUCGAGUUUGGGAGAGGGAUGCGGAAUUCCAGGUGUAGCGGUGAAAUGCAUAGAUAUCUGGAGGAACACCGGUGGCGAAGGCGGAUCUCUGGGCCAUUACUGACGCUGAGGAGCGAAAGCGUGGGGAGCGAACAGG